rnacentral:rRNA from 1 species
UGGGGAAUAUUGCACAAUGGGCGCAAGCCUGAUGCAGCCAUGCCGCGUGUAUGAAGAAGGCCUUCGGGUUGUAAAGUACUUUCAGCGGGGAGGAAGGGAGUAAAGUUAAUACCUUUGCUCAUUGACGUUACCCGCAGAAGAAGCACCGGCUAACUCCGUGCCAGCAGCCGCGGUAAUACGGAGGGUGCAAGCGUUAAUCGGAAUUACUGGGCGUAAAGCGCACGCAGGCGGUUUGUUAAGUCAGAUGUGAAAUCCUCGGGCUCAACCUGGGAACUGCAUCUGAUACUGGCAAGCUUGAGUCUCGUAGAGGGGGGUAGAAUUCCAGGUGUAGCGGUGAAAUGCGUAGAGAUCUGGAGGAAUACCGGUAGCGAAGGCGGCCCCCUGGACGAAGACUGACGCUCAGGUGCGAAAGCGUGGGGAGCAAACAGG